UGGCCCGUGGUGUAAUUGGCAACUCGCCUGACUCUGGAUCAGGAGAGUCCAGGUUCGAACCCUGGCGGGCCAA
rnacentral:tRNA from 1 species